GAUGAAUUAGUAUCUUGAAAAUGUCAGCACACAUAAAGAAGAGAAGAAGUCUAGACACACUGUAACAUAUUCAAUUGUAUAGCACUUCACAAUGCUUGAAGCAUUAGUCCAACCCAGAAUUCAGCCCGAGUUCUGAUCAAACUGUCUGAGAAGAUGGACUCUGCUAUAGAGUACAGAACCUAUAGGUCAUAGAGUCACUUGUUCAUUGUUGAAGGAACAGUUAUCUCUACAUCGGAAGAUUCAAUUGUGACAGCAGCUACCUACACAUCGUGGCUACCUUGUGCUCGUGAUGAUCGUCCUGGCUCUCACUACAACUGACGUCGUUUUACUCAUCUUGUGUUUCAUCAGUUUGAUAGGCACCAUCGCACUUUGUCUAUUCUGUGAGUACGGUCAGACUGCGCCCUCUGGUGGCUGUAAGCACGGGCCAGGCAAUGUAAAGAUCAUCUGUUUUUUAUGGUCCUGGGCUAAGGAGGGUAUUCUAUAAUAAACAUGUAAAAGAAAUGAAAAAAAACAACAUAUAAAUAUAUGUGAAACGAUAUGCUAGGGUGACUGCGUGCAAACAAACCAUGAUAUAGUUUCAUUAAGCUCUCAGAUAAAGUAUUAGACAGUUCCCGUCUUCUUGUGUUGCAAGUAAUGAGCAUAUAAGUAGUUAUCCCCCUAUCAACAUACACAUAAUUACUCAAUGGAAGAGAAAAAAUCAAAACAUUUUUGAAAUCCCUUUUAAUAAGCUUUUAUCAACUCACUCUGUCUGUCUAUAUGUUUGUCUUUCUGGCCUAAAAUUUGUAAACGUUAAUUUCUCGGACACCCUUUCUCGGA
rnacentral:sRNA from 1 species